rnacentral:lncRNA from 1 species
AGACGCUUCAAGAACUGCUCAGUCCCGGAGUGGAGGGAUUAUGUGAAGACCCCAGUGCUUUACCCUGAGACCAAGUGCAGAGGUUUUCAUUAUAGGGGGCAUGUGUUAGUUUUCCGACUAGAGGAGGAAAAAGAAAACAGAAACCAAGCCUACCAGAGACUCACCGCCCGUACUCUCUACCCACCCCCACCCCCAGCUCUGCCACCCAUGCCCAUUCUUUUUUUCUCUAAUAAAUGCUUAGAAUCCAGUUUCCAGAAGCUCUGUGUCUCAAUAUGGCCACAGACCUGAGUUCUGAAAAUGAGAAGUGAAUGGACAUAUAGUUUGUAUCUAGAAUGUUUUCUUAAAAGAAGUGAAGUGGGCCCUUCUUCCCCCUCCCCUCCUUCCAGCUGCCUGUAAUGAAGAUAUAUGACUGCAGUUCUAGCAGCUUCAGUGAUGGGAGUGGAUGCAUCAAGACAGAAAAAACCUGAAGUCUGACUCUGAGAAGGUGCCAUACCA